rnacentral:misc_RNA from 1 species
CAUUUAUAGCACUGCCUAAACACUCCAGUACAAGAGCAUACUGGUGCUGGCAUGGUUGACUCAUCAUACGCAAUCUGGUUCAACCCUAAAUCUUGACCUUUCCAAUCAGAUUUAGAGGCAACCAGCUGUUUAUUCAGAUCAUCGCCUUCCGUAGCCAUAUCCUGUCCAUGUCCAUUCUUCCACUCAUGUGAUUUGCCAUACAUGAUUUUGUUCAAGUCCUCAUUCUCCCUCUUAACCUUCCUUGGAGAUUUUGAAGUCUUUUUGUUAGGUGGCAUCACCUUNNNNNNNNNUUUCCCCCGCCGUGACUUUGCAGCCUCAGAACCAACCGGUGAUAUUGGGACAGUGUCACUUGCCUGCAUUUCCCUAGUACCAUAUGAAGCUU